GGGAGAUGGCUACUUCUCUCGACGUCAAUAUCGAGUCACCCACAGGAUGCCCUUCACGUCCCACACACUGCCACUCAGAGUAAAUGAGCAGAGGAGGAACGGAGAUGGAUGGAUGGAUGCACGGACGGAUGGAUGUGAGGAGAAGACAGUGGGAUGGCUGAUUGGCUGGAAAUAAGCUAGCUUCUGAAGUUACAUCGAUCGUAACUUUAUUUACAUCUGCACAGUGAACACACCACAGGGAUGAGAAGGGAAAAGAAAUGUGCUGAGAGUGAAAGCAGACUGUGGGAUGUUAUUAUUUUCCUAUUAAUGACUUAGCAUAUCCACGCUGCACCAGGCAGCACAAGAAAUUAACUCAUUUGUUUGUAAUAUGCAUUAAUCUGCUUAUCUGGUUUAAAUGCUCAUUAAAUGAAGAUGCCAGGAUGCAGUUCUGGAUUAUUUCAGCCCAUU
ensembl:lncRNA